rnacentral:rRNA from 1 species
AUUGAACGCUGGCGGCAGGCUUAACACAUGCAAGUCGAGCGGAGAGAGGUAGCUUGCUACUAAUCUUAGCGGCGGACGGGUGAGUAAUGCUUAGGAAUCUGCCUAUUAGUGGGGGACAACAUUUCGAAAGGAAUGCUAAUACCGCAUACGUCCUACGGGAGAAAGCAGGGGAUCUUCGGACCUUGCGCUAAUAGAUGAGCCUAAGUCGGAUUAGCUAGUUGGUGGGGUAAAGGCCUACCAAGGCGACGAUCUGUAGCGGGUCUGAGAGGAUGAUCCGCCACACUGGGACUGAGACACGGCCCAGACUCCUACGGGAGGCAGCAGUGGGGAAUAUUGGACAAUGGGCGCAAGCCUGAUCCAGCCAUGCCGCGUGUGUGAAGAGGGCCUUAUGGUUGUAAAGCACUUUAAGCGAGGAGGAGGCUACUUUAGUUAAUACCUAGAGAUAGUGGACGUUACUCGCAGAAUAAGCACCGGCUAACUCUGUGCCAGCCGCCGCGGUAACAC